AGCGAGGAAAAAUGGGAGGGGCGAGAAAGAAAUAGCUAUUUCUUUUUCGCCCCUCCCAUUUUUCCUCGCU